UACAUGGGGUGCAAACGUUGCUCGGAAUUAUUGGGCGUAAAGCGCACGUAGGCGGUUCGUUAAGUCGGAUGUGAAAGCCCUCGGCUCAACUGAGGAAGUGCACCCGAAACUGGCGAGCUUGAGUACGAAAGAGGAUCGCGGAAUUCCCGGUGUAGAGGUGAAAUUCGUAGAUAGUCGGGAGGAACACCGGGUGGCGAAGGCGGCGAUCUGGGUCGAUACUGACGCGUGAGGUGCGAAAGCGUGGGGAGCAAACAGGG
rnacentral:rRNA from 1 species